AUGUUCCUCCUCUCACUCGGCUUUUCUCUCUCCUCCUCUCUCAAUUUUUGCCAUGGACAACCCUCGCAGCACCCCACCCGCCAUCUCCGGUCACCUCUCCGUCGACCUCGUGCUCCUCCGCCUCGAUCCAUCCACCGCGCCACCGGAAUCACGCCGGAGCAGCCGGAUCCGCAGCCUCCUGCCUCGUCUGUCGUCGGGAGAGCCGCCUCACGCAGGCCAGCCAUCUACUCUUCUUCUCUGGGCUUUUCCCUCUCUCUCUCUCUCUCUCUCUCUCUCUCUCUCUCUCUCUCUCAUCUCUGUUUUCUCCAGGGAAGGAUGUGGCCAUGGAACACAAUCCGCAGCACACCGUUCUCGCUGCCGGAAACCUCUACGUCGGCCUCGAGCUCCUCCGCCUCGAUCCGUCCGUUCGACCCGCCGCCGCCUCCUGCAUCGCCUGUCGUCUGGAGGAGGACAUCCGAGAGUAGUGCCCGUUCGUCCGCCGCGUGGACUGGCUCAGCCCAGCUCGCCCGCUAA
rnacentral:rRNA from 1 species